UCGAGCGAACAGACGAGGAGCUUGCUCCUCUGACGUUAGCGGCGGACGGGUGAGUAACACGUGGAUAACCUACCUAUAAGACUGGGAUAACUUCGGGAAACCGGAGCUAAUACCGGAUAAUAUAUUGAACCGCAUGGUUCAAUAGUGAAAGACGGUUUUGCUGUCACUUAUAGAUGGAUCCGCGCCGCAUUAGCUAGUUGGUAAGGUAACGGCUUACCAAGGCAACGAUGCGUAGCCGACCUGAGAGGGUGAUCGGCCACACUGGAACUGAGACACGGUCCAGACUCCUACGGGAGGCAGCAGUAGGGAAUCUUCCGCAAUGGGCGAAAGCCUGACGGAGCAACGCCGCGUGAGUGAUGAAGGUCUUCGGAUCGUAAAACUCUGUUAUUAGGGAAGAACAAAUGUGUAAGUAACUAUGCACGUCUUGACGGUACCUAAUCAGAAAGCCACGGCUAACUACGUGCCAGCAGCCGCGGUAAUACGUAGGUGGCAAGCGUUAUCCGGAAUUAUUGGGCGUAAAGCGCGCGUAGGCGGUUUUUUAAGUCUGAUGUGAAAGCCCACGGCUCAACCGUGGAGGGUCAUUGGAAACUGGAAAACUUGAGUGCAGAAGAGGAAAGUGGAAUUCCAUGUGUAGCGGUGAAAUGCGCAGAGAUAUGGAGGAACACCAGUGGCGAAGGCGACUUUCUGGUCUGUAACUGACGCUGAUGUGCGAAAGCGUGGGGAUCAAACAGGAUUAGAUACCCUGGUAGUCCACGCCGUAAACGAUGAGUGCUAAGUGUUAGGGGGUUUCCGCCCCUUAGUGCUGCAGCUAACGCAUUAAGCACUCCGCCUGGGGAGUACGACCGCAAGGUUGAAACUCAAAGGAAUUGACGGGGACCCGCACAAGCGGUGGAGCAUGUGGUUUAAUUCGAAGCAACGCGAAGAAUCCUUACCAAAUCUUGACAUCCUCUGACCCCUCUAGAGAUAGAGUUUUCCCCUUUCGGGGGACAGAGUGACAGUGGUGCAUGCCUGUCGUCAGCUCGUGUCGUGAGAUGUGGGUAGUCCCGCAUGAGC
rnacentral:rRNA from 1 species